AGAUGAAGAACGUAGCGAAAUGCGAUAAGUAGUGUGAAUUGCAGAAUUCCGUGAAUCAUCGAAUCUUUGAACGCACAUUGCGCCCUUUGGUAUUCCAUAGGGCAUGCCUGUUCGAGCGUCAUUUCACCCUUCAAGCUCUGCUUGGUGUUGGGCGUCUGUUCCACUGUGUGUGAACUCGCCUCAAAUUUAUUGGCAGCUGGUAUGUUGGCUUUGAGCGCAGCAGAAUUGCGUCUUCAAGUCUGGCAAACUAGCAUCCAAAAGUAAUUUUUAUCAUCUUGACCUCGGAUCAGGUAGGGAUACCCGCUGAACUUAAGCAUAUCAAUAAGCGGAGGA
rnacentral:misc_RNA from 1 species